AGUGUUGUAUUUCCUAACACAAUGUUGCAACAAAAAAGAGUAUCAUGUAAUUUGCCCUUUCACUACGGUGUUGAAUAUUUGUUUUUGGUUUUUAUUUUCAGUUUUGGCUCCAUCAAUGGUGUCGUCAACGGAAAUCGCAUCACAUGCCGGAUCAUCUUCCGGAUCCUUAUCCUGGCACGAAAAGCAUCGUCAAUCGUCGUCGUGUUUGACCUCUGCUCCUACUUACGUCGGCGCAGCCGAAGUGUAGCCAUUCCCUGCAGCCCUCGCAGAACACCAUGUUGCUCUCGUCGUGAUCCGGACGGGUACAAAUAACACAGUUGUAUGCCGUCAGAUCCUUGUUGAGACAUCGACAGUUCAUCUACGGAUUACAUGACUCGCAGGUACAUCUUCGCGCAAGUAGUGUUGUCAGUUAGCUGCACUCUGUCGUCAUCGGUGCCUCAACAGGGAUAGUACAAACUCUUCUUAUGAUAAGUGAU